rnacentral:rRNA from 1 species
CCUACGGGUGGCAGCAGUGAGGAAUAUUGGUCAAUGGACGCAAGUCUGAACCAGCCAUGCCGCGUGCAGGAAGACGGCCCUACGGGUCGUAAACCGCUUUUGCACGGGGAUAACACCCUCCACUUGUGGAGGUCUGCAGGUACCGUGCGAAUAAGGGCCGGCUAAUUCCGUGCCAGCAGCCGCGGUAAUACGGAAGGCCCGAGCGUUAUCCGGAUUCAUUGGGCUUAAAGGGUGCGUAGGCGGGCGUUCAAGUCAGCUGUAAAAUCGCGCGGCGCAACCGCGCCCCGCAGUUGAAACUGGACGCCUUGAGUUCACAACAGGCAGGCGGAAUUCGUGGUGUAGCGGUGAAAUGCAUAGAUAUCACGAGGAACCCCGAUUGCGAAGGCAGCCUGCCGGGGUGCGACUGACGCUGAGGCUCGAAGGUGCGGGUAUCAAACAGGAUUAGAUACCCGGGUAGUC